UGGUUCUCUUCUUCCUCAUUUACAUGCUGUCAGGGGGUUGAACUCAGGUUGUUGGGCUUACAGCAGUGUUGUACCUGCAGAACCAUCCCAUGAGCACCACAGGCAGCAUCUGGGAAGAAACUGUGAUGAUGAAGAGGUAUUGAGAUAAUGAAGAAAUGUUCAGGUAUAGUAAAAUAAGGCACAGGUAUCCAAGGAUAUAGAUGGGCAGAAGCUUGUUUCUUACUUGUACUGACAGUAAUAACAAAUGACCAACAUUUCUAUGCAGUUCCCCAAGACAAUAUUCUCCAGAAGAUGGCAAUGAGAGACAGUAUCUGAAUAUGCAGGAGGCCAUAUCACAGUUGAGAAAUUCCAAGUUCAGAAAACCUCCCUCUCUGACAGGCAGGAAGCAUACUUGAUGUUGCUUUCCCAACCUUCCAUUUUGAGUGUUCCCUGUACACAUGUUCCUGUAAGAUAUUCUCCUUGUUCCCAAGAUGAAGAGAUACCAUUUUCUAGGGAGGUUUGUCCUGCCAUGGUCCCACUACUCACUUCUACAACUAAACACUGUGUUUUCCUUAGGGAGACAAAUGUCACCCAGCAGCACACUUGAGGAUCCUGGAAAGAAGCAAUAAACACUGGACUAAUGCACAGACCUUGGGCCAUCUGCUGCUUCAAUUUCCACUUCAAAACAGCCUGAGUACCCAGGCUUUCAGAACCUCUGGCCUGUAGAUCUCUCAGCUAGCAAAUGAAAUGUUACUUACUCAGGAAGACAAAACAAAUAUUUCCCACAUCCUUGACGUCUAAAGAGAACCAGCAUUAGCCCUUAUUGAGAUUCUUAGCUAUCUGUGGUCAGCUGAUAAUGCCCACUCUCAAAGAUGCUCAUUCAAGACUCCCCAACACCUCUGAAGGCGAGCAUUCACACUGAAUGGGCCCUUGCAGGUGCGAUCACUGGAUUUGUGUUGGGAAGAUUAGCCUGGACUUUCUGAGGGGGGGUGGGGUCUCAGUGAGAUCACACUAACUUCUAAAACGAUGACAGGAAGAUCAGAGAGGCCAAUGUGUGCCUGGAAACAGCAACUGGGGUGACAAGACCAGAAACCAGUGACUGCUGCAGCUGGCAGAAAUGGGAAGAAACAGAAACAGUUUUCUCUGGAGCUUCCAGAAGAACACUUCUGCCAAGACCCAGCUGGAGUCUACACUCAUUAUUUUCCCCCUUGCUGCUACAAAACACCUGACAAAUGCAACAUAAGGAAGUUUAUGUUGGCUCAUGGUUUGAGGAUCCGAUUCCUGAUGGCUGGGAACGCACAGUGAGGCAGCUGGUCACAUUGCAUCUGCAGCUGGGAAUCGGAGAGCUGUGCACAACCAGCUCAUUCUCUUCUGCAUUCAGCCCAGAACUUCAGUUUGUGCAUGGUGCCAUUUACAGUUAGGUCAUAUCUUCACUCAGCUAACCCAAUCUAGAAAAUUAUUCACCGACUUGCCCAGAGAUUUGUCCAAGGGGAUUCUAGAUCCUACCAAGCUGUCAAUGUUGACUAUAACUGAGGUCCCUGAGUUUACUUUAUCUUUAAUUACAUAAUUCAAUAACUAUUUAAUUAACUAAUUUUUAAUUGAUUUCAGACCUCCAACAUUCCAAAAUUUAGGGAUAAAUUCAUGUUGUGUUAGACUGCUAAAUCUGUGGUAAUAGAAUUCAGAAGGAACAGGAUAUAAUGCUCCCACCCUACAUUAUUCUACAAAGACCCAAACUAACUUUGCUUUGUUUUUCCAGUUGGCUUGAAAUCAAAAUCAAAAUUAAGUGAGGGUUGAGGAGAGAUAGCAGAAGGUUGAGGGUAGGAGAAAAGAAAUGGAAAGGAAAAGAAAAAAAGGAAAAAUUAAAGAGGAAAAAAGCAAAGUUCUGCUUGGGAAAAAUAUAUCAACCAAACAAAAACCAGAUAAUACCAAAAGUUUUCAUCUUUUAAAAGAUAUUGUUGGUGUGUGUGUGUGUGUGUGUGUGUGUGUGUGUGUGACUGCAGGUUUCCAAAUAAGCCAGAAGAGAGCAUUAGAUACCCUAGAGGAAGAGUUACAGAUGCUUGUGAAGUACCCAACAUAGGCUCUGGGAAUCACACUCAUCCUCUGCACCCUCUCAGCUUCGGAGACAUCUCCCAGCCUCAAUCCUUGAAAGUUUUGACCAGAGCAUGCAUCUGUGUGGUUUUCCUUCAAAAAGAGAGUUUUUGUUUGUUGUUGAUACUAUGAUAGAUAGGAGUAAGAAAAUGAGUCCCAAAAUGGUACCAAUGUAGACCUCCUGUCUGUACCCAGUUAAUCAUAUGGCAUUGUUUCUGAGUAACAUCUCCUCAGAUAUCUCACCAGCUCAGGCCUCCCAGUUGUCCCUCAGAGCUUCCUCCAGACACUAUAGGUGCUGGGAAAGGGGCAGAAACCUUUCUUACCUGCUCCCUGUCCCAAACCUGUUGCUUCAACUUUCCACACAAGGACUAAAAUUGCCUCAGCUCUCAUACCCACUAUGAUUGCUACACUGGCCUGCAGAUAACAAGCACCCUUAGUGCUCUUGCUAACAGCCAUAUAACAUCUCUCCUGUCUUGGCUAUCCUUUGUAAUGAUAUUGUGCACCUAUUGCAUAUAGAAUAACAUUUCCCAUGAAUAUGUGCAUCCUGGCUACUUCCUCCUCCUGGGUCCCCAUAUCCCAAUCACUUCCUAGCAAUAGCUCUAGCAAUGGGUGGUACCCUUGGUUGAUGAAUGGGUUGUCAUAUCUGCCUUUUUUCAUUCCCUUCUCAAGUCACAAUACAAGCACUAGUACUGCCCUGAAGCCAUGACAGCAACAGCUUUCCUAGAGACCUGUUGUGUUCCACUUCAGCUCUCUUUCUGAUCAUCAAGUUCCAGAAGUCAGAGACAUGGAGUGGGUCAUAACUGGGUUGUAACUGUGUCAUGACUGCAUGGUAGGGUGCCUUACCUUUUGCGUCACUCACUGUUUAAGAGGAGAAAUGGAUGAUGCCAGGUAGAUUCUAAUCUUGCAAGAACAUACUCCUCUGUUCAUCCAUCUCCUGUGAUUAACCCAAGGUGGUAACUAACAAUGACAUACUCCUUUUCUAACUUGCUCAUCUGCCUUGGUUUCAUAAUGGUGCAAUUCCAAUGAGUGCUUAGUGAUGCUGGGGUGCAUCGUAUUGUGAUAGAAACAGGAGAGGUAGCACUGCAGGUUAUUAUACCAAGUAAAUACUCCAAGUCAUCGUGAGAGCUGUCAGUCCUCUGAAGUGCAUCUAGUAGGGUUGCUGGAUUCAGCAAAUAAAAAUAGAAAACACUCAAUUAACUUUGGAUUUCAGAUAUAUAAAAACACUUAUUUUAGUAAAAGUAUGUCUCAUAAUAUUUUGAACACACUUAUACUAAAAAAAAAAUAUUCUUCAUUUAUCUGAAAUUCAAAUAAAACCAGGUAUCUACAACUUGAACACCAACUUUACAAGUAGGUCCAUGACAUGUGGAUGAUAGAGGAAGGAUAGAGACUGAGAUAUUAAAUAAAACACAUUUGCCUUUUUUAGGAGACAUGGUCAAUGGACAUAAUAAAAUGUUUGAAAGGGAGGGCAUUUGAGUUCUGGUUAUCCGGCACUUACUUCAGCCUGGGUACUAGGGCACAUAUGGGGCAUGGAAUUCUCUCAAUUCUUGGAACACCCAGAAAAACACCCUGACUACUACUGUAGCUUGGACCUUUUUAUUCCUUUAAAUGAAAAAUGUUCACAAUUCAAAACUUCUUGAGUGCUAACACAACAACACAAAUAGAAUACUUUACACCAUGAAAUUGUUCUAUGGGCAAAUUUUUAA